GGAAGACACAGGUAGGGGGAGCACAAACAGUUCUCACCAGACCACGGAUUAGAACACACAACUUCAAGACAAGAAAACAACUGGUGAAGCAGGAACCAGUUCUGUAGCAACACACGAGAGAAUAGGAUCACACAAACUGCAGCAGCAUUCUGGAUAUCAGAUCAUAUCAGUACACUGUUCGAGUUUUGUAAGGAAAUAUAAACUGCAGCGUAAAAGAGGAUCAUGCAUCUGUUGUCUUCACCUCU